GCAGUCGUACGAGAACUCUUCUGCUUGCAGAAGAUAGUAAAGUGGCGCACGGGUGAGUAACGCGUGGGUAAUCUACCUCCGAAUCUGGGAUAACCCGCCGAAAGGCGAGCUAAUACCGGAUAAUAUCUUUAAACUUCGGUUUUUAAGAUCAAAGGUGGUCUCUACAUGUAAGCUACUGUUUGGAGAUGAGCCCGCGUACCAUUAGCUUGUUGGUAGGGUAAUGGCCUACCAAGGCCGCGAUGGUUAGCUGGUCUGAGAGGAUGAUCAGCCACACUGGAACUGACACACGGUCCAGACUCCUACGGGAGGCAGCAGUGAGGAAUUUUGCGCAAUGGGGGAAACCCUGACGCAGCAACGCCGCGUGAGUGAUGAAGGCUUUCGGGUCGUAAAGCUCUGUCAAGUGGGAAGAACCUGCUGGAUGCUAAUAUCAUCCGGCACUGACGGUACCACUAAAGGAAGCACCGGCUAACUCCGUGCCAGCAGCCGCGGGUAAUACGGGGG
rnacentral:rRNA from 1 species